rnacentral:rRNA from 1 species
UACGUAGGGGGCAAGCGUUGUCCGGAAUCAUUGGGCGUAAAGCGCGUGUAGGCGGUCCGGUAAGUCCGCUGUGAAAGUCGGGGGCUCAACCCUCGGAUGCCGGUGGAUACUGUCGGGCUUGAGUACGGAAGAGGCGAGUGGAAUUCCUGGUGUAGCGGUGAAAUGCGCAGAUAUCAGGAGGAACACCAAUUGCGAAGGCAGCUCGCUGGGACGUUACUGACGCUGAGACGCGAAAGCGUGGGGAGCAAAUGGG